rnacentral:rRNA from 1 species
UACGUAGGGGGCUAGCGUUGUCCGGAUUUAUUGGGCGUAAAGAGCGUGUAGGCGGCCAGGUAGGUCUGCUGUGAAAACUCGAGGCUCAACCUCGAGACGUCGGCGGAAACCAUCUGGCUAGAGUCCGGAAGAGGAGAGUGGAAUUCCUGGUGUAGCGGUGAAAUGCGCAGAUAUCAGGAGGAACACCAGUGGCGAAGGCGGCAUCCUGGACCGGCAUUGACGCUGAGGCGCGAAAGCUAGGGGAGCAAACGGG